CCGCCCCCCACGCCGGGUCCGCGUGCCCCGCGGGGCGGUGGUUCGCAGUCCACAAUUCCGGCCGCCGGCGCGGCGUCGGUUCUGCGGCGUUGCUGGCUUUUCUGAGGGCUCGCUCGGGCCUGAGGGACCCGCGCCGAGCUCGAGGCGCCGCACACGGACCUCGACGGGACCCUCGGCUCGCGGCCGCUCCGCGAGGUGUUUACUAGAGUAAGCAGCGACCUGCAGCUGUCUGGAGCCUGAGUGGCAGACUCAUCCAAUUUAUUGGGCACAAGGGUGGGUUACACCCCAAAAGCUGCUGCUGCAGGAUGCCCAGGCAACACGUGGACCUCCUCCACACCUGAGAGCCGAAGGGACCUCAGGUUCCCUCCUAAGUUAUUACCCAUGAAGAAACAUAAAACUGCACAUAAAACUGUAUUUCAUAGAAACAAAAGCCUCUGCAGCGGAGGGGGCGUCAGGAGAGGCCUGAACCAAGCCCGGGGGUACCGGCGGCAGAUAGGGUGGCCAAGGACAGCAUCCUCCUGGGGGGCCUUGCAGCUCUGCCCUGCCUGAGGUGAGGUCUUAGGAGGCUGGAGGAUCAGAAGAGAACUGGGUGCCUGAGGACGCCGGGAGGAGGGGCGGGAAUGGGUGUAGAGAACACUGGGAUUGAGGCACGAGAGGGAGUUUCUAAGCAUGGGAUGAUCCCGGUUUUAUUUUCAUU
rnacentral:lncRNA from 1 species